rnacentral:rRNA from 1 species
CCCUUAGAUGUCCGGGGCUGCACGCGUGCUACACUGAAGGAAUCAGCGUGCUAAAACCAUUGUCGAAAGGCAUUGGUAAACCCAUUAAAAUCCUACGUGAUUGGGAUCGGGAAUUGCAAUUAUUUCCCUUGAACGAGGAAUUCCCAGUAAGUGUGGGUCAUAAGCUCGCGUUGAUUACGUCCCUGCCCUUUGUACACACCGCCCGUCGCUGCCCGGGACUGAGCCGUUUCGAGAAAAGCGGGGACUGCUGCUGUCGGGGCUUUCGGGCCUUGGCUUCGGUGGAAACCGCUUUAAUCGCAGUGGCUUGAACCGGGCAAAANUCGUAACA